rnacentral:rRNA from 1 species
UGGGGGAUAUUGCACAAUGGGGGAAACCCUGAUGCAGCGACGCCGCGUGGGUGAAGAAGUGCUCCGGCAUGUAAAGCCCUGUCAGCGGGGAAGAAAAUGACGGUACCCGACCAAGAAGCCCCGGCUAACUACGUGCCAGCAGCCGCGGUAAUACGUAGGGGGCGAGCGUUAUCCGGAUUCACUGGGCGUAAAGGGAGCGCAGACGGCAGUGCAAGCGGGGAGUGAAAGCCCGGGGCCCAACCCCGGGACUGCUCUCGGAACUGCACGGCUUGAGUACGGGAGGGGCAGGCGGAAUUCCUGGUGUAGCGGUGAAAUGCGUAGAUAUCAGGAGGAACACCGGCGGCGAAGGCGGCCUGCUGGACCGUGACUGACGUUGAGGCUCGAAAGCGUGGGGAGCGAACAGG